GCUGAGAUGUCCGAGCGGUCUAAGGAGCCAGAUUCAAGUGCCCGACGUCCUGUUCCACUUGCACGCCUCAAAGCGUGUGUACUUCCUGGUAGGGCAACCUGCGGGGGUUCGAAUCCCCCUCUCAGCA
rfam:Puccinia triticina 1-1 BBBD Race 1 supercont2.8, whole genome shotgun sequence.